rnacentral:rRNA from 1 species
AUCGAACGCUGGCGGAAUGCUUUACACAUGCAAGUCGAACGGCAGCACGGACUUCGGUCUGGUGGCGAGUGGCGAACGGGUGAGUAAUACAUCGGAACGUGCCCAGUCGUGGGGGAUAACGUAGCGAAAGCUACGCUAAUACCGCAUACGAUCUAAGGAUGAAAGCGGGGGAUCGCAAGACCUCGCGCGAUUGGAGCGGCCGAUGGCAGAUUAGGUAGUUGGUGGGGUAAAGGCCUACCAAGCCGACGAUCUGUAGCUGGUCUGAGAGGACGACCAGCCACACUGGGACUGAGACACGGCCCAGACUCCUACGGGAGGCAGCAGUGGGGAAUUUCGGACAAUGGGCGCAAGCCUGAUCCAGCCAUUCCGCGUGCAGGAUGAAGGCCCUCGGGUUGUAAACUGCUUUUGUACAGAACGAAAAGGCUCUGGUUAAUACCUGGGGCUCAUGACGGUACUGUAAGAAUAAGCACCGGCUAACUACGUGCCAGCCGCCGCCGUAA